GACGAACGCUGGCGGCGUGCCUAAUACAUGCAAGUUGAGCGAUGAAGAUUGGUGCUUGCACCAAUUUGAAGAGCAGCGAACGGGUGAGUAACGCGUGGGGAAUCUGCCUUUGAGCGGGGGACAACAUUUGGAGACGAAUGCUAAUACCGCAUAACAACUUUAAACAUAAGUUUUAAGUUUGAAAGAUGCAAUUGCAUCACUCAAAGAUGAUCCCGCGUUGUAUUAGCUAGUUGGUGAGGUAAAGGCUCACCAAGGCAAUGAUACAUAGCCGACCUGAGAGGGUGAUCGGCCACAUUGGGACUGAGACACGGCCCAAACUCCUACGGGAGGCAGCAGUAGGGAAUCUUCGGCAAUGGACGAAAGUCUGACCGAGCAACGCCGCGUGAGUGAAGAAGGUUUUCGGAUCGUAAAACUCUGUUGGUAGAGAAGAACGUUGGUGAGAGUGGAAAGCUCAUCAAGUGACGGUAACUACCCAGAAAGGGACGGCUAACUACGUG
rnacentral:rRNA from 1 species